GGUGCAGGUGUGCAGGCAGGUAAUUAGUUAGCGGGGAGAACUCAGUGGGAACAACUGGUGGACAGGUGCAGAAUGGCAGGUCUGGAAUAACAGGCAGAUGUGGUGAUGAUACAGCAUACAGGUACAGCAACAAAAGGCAGGAAGAUGAGGAUUGAUGACUGUGACGGCGUGGCAGGAGAUAAACACACGCAGGCACAAUUAAUGGAAGAUUUUCCAGAUCCUGAUCUGCAGCAGGCUCACCGUCUCCGCUGCAGGCACCUAUCUAUCCAGGGAGGAAGGGACAAAAUGUCUAGACUGCACAGAUCACUUGCUGACCUGUUCAUUAGUUUACAUCAUAUAUGUCAGUUUCAUACAUGUGUCAUUGUUGGCCUGUACAAAUCUAUUUUCAGAAAUUGUCCUGGACAUGGUGGUAAUUUUAUCAAUAAAUCUACAGCACAGACACCUGUUUCUUUUUUGUGA